CACUGGCUGCGUGUAGCACCGCCAUCGCUGAUGAGGCUUCCACAUCUAAGUCCAGCAUGAGCGGCACAGAUGCUAAAAAGGGCACUGCCCAGAGGAAAAGAUCUACCAAGAAGAAGAGCAGAGCUGCUAAAACUAGCAAAACAGCAGGAAAGACAACUGAGAAAGCUGGUGUGAAGAACCAAGAAGAGAAGAAGGCCGACACAUCUAAAUCAAAUAAAGGGGUUGGUGGUUCUGAAGAGAAAAAGACACUAACUAGGCCCAAGAGAUCUUCGAAAGGAAAUGACUCUGCUCUAGCCAAGAGUCAAAUGAAGACCUCUACUGAUGGUUCUGGCAGUGAGAGGAAGCCACUUACACCUCUGUAUCCCCCCAAAGCUAAAUCAGUUGUUGUGGUUGAAUCAGCUACAAAAGCAAGAGUUAUUCAAAAAUACCUUGGGGACAUGUACGAAGUAGUGCCUAGCUAUGGCCACGUGAGAGAUCUAGCUGGAAGGGCAAGAUCUGUCCGCCCUGAGGACGACUUCACAAUGGUAUGGGAGGUGCCUGCUGCUGCCUGGACACACCUGAAGAGCAUCAGAGUAGCAUUGAAAGGGGCAAAAAAUUUGAUUCUUGCAUCUAACCCUGACCGUGAGGGUGAAGCAAUUUCUUGGCACAUAAAAGAAAUGCUUGAACAGCAGAACGCGUUGGGUUGCCAUGUUACUGUUUCACGAGUUGUCUUCCAUGAAAUUACAGAGGAUGCUAUUAAGAAAGCUUUAAUGUCUCCAAGAUAUAUUGAUAUGGACUUAGUCAAUGCUUAUCUUGCUCGCCGAUCCCUUGAUAAUUUGAUUGGGUUUGGCAUAUCACCACUUCUAUGGAGGAAGUUGCCUGGUUGUCAGUCAGCUGGACCAGUCCAAUCUGCAGCUUUGGCCCUUGUAUGUGAUCGAGAGACUGAAGUAGAACAGUUUCGCCCACAGGAAUAUUGGACUGUUGAUACUGACUUCAAAACCCAGUCUUCAAAAGGCCUAUACCUCACAUCCCGGAUAAAGCAUCUCAAUUCAAAAAAGUUGGAUCAACUUUCUAUAAGCUCUCAAGUAGAAGCACAAGCUAUAGAAAAGAGGAUUUAUUCUUGCCAAUUUGAAGUAAAAGGGGUUAAGAGAAGCAACAUUCACAAAAAUCCUCCAAUGCCAUAUAUAACAUCCAGCCUUCAGCAGGAUGCAGCAAACAAACUACAGUUUGCUGCAUGGUAUACUGUGGAGGUAGCCCAAAAGCUUUAUGAAGGGAUCAGUCUUUCUUCAGAACAAGCAACAGGCUUAAUAACGUACCUCAGAACAGAUGGGUAUCAUAUUUCUGAUGGAACGGCAAAAGAUAUUCGUUCAUUAGUAAAAGAAAGGUAUGGCGAGCAUUAUGCAACAGAGGAUUGCAGUAAGUACUUGAAGAGGGUGAAAAAUGCUCAAGAAGCCCAUGAAGCUAUAAGGCCCACCAACAUAAGGAGGUUGCCAUCAUCUUUGGUUGGAAUACUCGAUGAGGAUUGUUUAAAACUGUACACUCUGAUAUGGAGAAGAACAAUGGCUUGCCAAAUGGAAGCUUCAAGAACUGAGCUGAUCCAAGUUGAUAUUGGUAACCCUGAAGGAGACAUGACCUUUCAUUCAUCUGCAUCGAGGCUUGACUUCAAGGGCUACCAAGCCAUCUAUGAGGAUAUUGAUAAUCCUGAAGGAGAAGCUGCGCAUCAGGAUAAUUUUGAGGCCUUGUCCAAAUUAGAGAUCAAGGAUUUGGUUUCUCCAGUUAAUGUGCAUAUUGGGCAGCACUAUACUAAACCCCCGCCCCAUUAUUCUGAGGGUGCAUUGAUUAAAAAGCUGGAGGAACUUGGAAUUGGAAGGCCGUCUACAUACGCUUCUAUAAUGAGGGUGUUGCAGGACCGGAAAUACGUGACAAUUGAAAGUCGAGUUUUGCACCCUGAAUUCCGUGGUCGAAUGGUCUCAGCAUUUCUUUCGCAUCUUUUCUCUGAGAUCGCCGAUUACAGAUCUACCGCUAACAUGGAGGCUGAGAAAUUUCACAACUGAAAGUCUGGAGCUGAAAAUAACCCAGCUCUGAGAUACUAGCUACCGAAGACCUGUUUCAACAGGGGUUUUAGCUAGACAAUGUUUCUGCUGGGUCAACUGAAUGGAAGGGCCUCCUGAAGGAUUACUGGGAACGAUUCAACAAAUAUUGCAGAGAUGCUAGUCAAUGGGAUGUCAGAAAGGUAGAGAGAAUGCUCGAAGA